rnacentral:rRNA from 1 species
UACGUAGGGGGCAAGCGUUGUCCGGAUUUAUUGGGCGUAAAGAGCGUGUAGGCGGCCAAGCAGGUCAGCUGUGAAAACUCGAGGCUCAACCUCGAGACGUCGGUUGAAACCGCUUGGCUAGAGUCCGGAAGAGGAGAGUGGAAUUCCCGGUGUAGCGGUGAAAUGCGCAGAUAUCGGGAAGAACACCCGUGGCGAAGGCGGCUCUCUGGGACGGUACUGGACGCGUGAGACGCGAAAGCGUGGGGAGCGAACAGG